UGGGAAAGAACAGGCCCUAACCUCCUCUUGUGCAAUCCUGGUGGUUCCUGGUUUUAUUUAUCAGAUUAUAUCCCAUCCAAGUCACCUCCAGAGCCACCCUAAAUAUCUCACUGGAAAAAGAGGAAAAAUAUUUUGUGUCAACCCGUUGAGGUAUAACUUGAAAGAUUACUCUCAUCAAAACAGUACAUUCCUGCUGCUAGGACAGACUUCUAGGACAGACAGACUCUCCUGGAAGCCCACAUCUGUGUUCGUGGGCUGCCUAUCCAUUCCCCCAAAAAGCUUUCUUUCUACUUUUAACAAACUCCAUCUCUGAUUCCAGUGGUUUCUCUUGAACUUCUUCCUGCAUUGAAGUCAAGGAUCAGUAUCCUUGAAAGGCCCCUGAAAGGUUGAGGGAACUCCUCUGACCACAGCUCUCCCCACUGUGGAGACCCUACUGCACCACACUCAUCUUUCUGGGAUGUAUGGGGGCGGGGCAUGUUAGGGCAGAAGAGUCCUCUGAAAGAGUAACAAGUGUUUGUAACUGCUGUGUUGUCUCUCCAGUUCCAGGCUCUCUGAAUCCUGAAGUCUCAGUCUUCCAGCUUCAGCCUUUGACUUCAUAUAUGGUCACAUUUAUUUAGCUUUCAUCGUAGGGAAAUUCUGGAGGGCUUGGGGAAAUGACUAGGCAGGCAAGAACAUCUGAUGACCAAGCUUGAAGACUACGGUUCAAAUCUCUAGUAUGCGUGUAAGAAGCUGGGCAUAGUCACACUUACAGGUAACCCCAGUGAUGUGCAAGAUGGAGACAGGAGGAUUACCCGGGCUUGUCUACUGCCAACCUAGCUCUGGAUUCGCUGAGAGGUCAUCCUGUAGGGGACAAGGCAGAGAGUGACAAAGCAGGACACCUGCCUUCCUCCUCUGACCUCUACAUGUGCACAGGUGUACAAAGCAACUAACACAUAUGUGUAACAACACACACACACACACACACACAGACACCAGGUCCAUCUUGACUAUGAAGUUCAUGAGUCUAUGAAACUUUGGUGCUGAGAGAUAAACCCAGACUUUGAAGUCAGACUUAUGCCAACUACUAAAGCACGUGUGACAUUGGGCAAGCCAAGCUGCCUCGCCUCUCUAAACAUUGGUUCUUCAUGUGAGAGCCCAGGUGUGGAUCUGGGAGAUGACUUAGCUGGUAAAGUGCUUGCCCUGCAACCAUGAGGACUUGAGUUUAAUGCCCAGAAUCCACACUAAAGAGAAAAACAAAACAAACACAUACACAAAAAAACCUAGAAGUGUUGGCUUACACUUGUAGUUCUAGUACUUGGGACUUGGACUUUGGUGAUUUCAAUAUGCUUGCCCCAGGGAGUGGCACUAUUAGGAAGUGUGGCCUUGUUGGAGGAAGUAUGUCACUGUGGGGGUAGGCUUGGAGACCCUCAUUCUAGAUGCCUGGAAGCUAGUCUCCUGUCUGCCUUUGGAUGAAGACUUAGAACUCUCAGCUCCUCCUGCAACAUGCUUGCAUGAAUGCUGCCAAUGCUUCUUGCCUUGAUGAUAAUGGGCUAAACCUCUGAACCUGUAAGCCAGCCCCAAUGAAACGCUGUCCUUACAAGAGUUGCCUUGGUCAUGGUGUCUGUUCACAGCAGUAAAACCCUAACUAAGACAAGGACUCAGGUAGAUAGAUCCCUUGGCCUCACUGGCCAGUCAGUCUAGUCUGCUUGGUGAGGUCAGAUCAAAGAGUCUCAAAAAAAUAAUACAGAUAGUAUGAAGAAAGGACACCUGGGAUUGCCUUCUGGCCUUUCACACACAUGUAUACACAUACAAGCAACACAUACACACAGGCACCCAUAGGCAUAUGUGCACACAUACACUCACACAAAAGGUUCAAAGCCAACUGCCAAGCAUUGCCCCGAGUAUGGAGCAUGAAACUGCUUAUAUAACAUAUGGGAGAGAGAGAGAGCCUGGUGCGGGGCAGGUGCCAAGGUAAAUAUCCGAUCCAGCUGCUCUCUAUCCACUCCAGUUUCUGAUGGGUCAAAAGCACAGCCGGUAAUAAACACAAUGUUGCCUCUGUCUUCGCUUCCUUUCACUCCUGGGGUCCUGCUUCAGACAGAAGGAAGCAACAGCAAAUAUCAGAGAACCCUAUUGAAAGUGUCACUCAUCCAUUGAAACGUCCUUUCUAUUCAAGAAUGUGAUGAUUAAUUAUUCAUUGCUUUUGGAGUUGAAAGCAAGGACAGGGCUCUCUGCCUAAAAGCCAGAGCUUGACAACAGUAGAUUUUCAACGGCCAGAUUUUGGUCAUGGACUGGUUCCUAUGGGAUGGACCCCAAGUCUCAGAUGUGCAGGGCCGAGAGGCAUGCAAACUUCAAAUGGAGCGAUUGCUCCGUGCCCUCCGUGCCUGCGAUGGAUCUCUGGGAGUUAAUUCCCUGCAUGGGUGGCCCGAGUCCUUUGGCCUCCAGCCCCAUGGCUCAUUCCGCCACUCUGGGCAAGCAGUAACCGCCCACCCCAGUGCAAGUCUUUCUUUCACGGCUCAUGGCAUGAACAACUCAUUAAUUCUCCAGGGCCGAGGUUGGGGAUUACGUCAGUCUUACACCCCACUGUAAGUGGUCUAAAUGCCAGGGUAGCCGUGUUUGCAGGGCUGCAUUCGUGCCAGGGGUGCAGAUCUAUCAAUACAUAGUUCUGAAAUAUGCUUCUCUUCCAUCGGGUGUGCUUCUCCUGGGCAGCAGAUUUCAAAAUGGAAGCUCAGUGCCUAGCCAGAACGCAGGCUCGGGAGCGCCUGGAGGACUCUUCGGGCCUCUUCAGGGUAGGUGAGAUCUUGCUUGCUAUGUCCCCAGGAGGAACAGGAGGCAGAGCUAAGCCAGGCGGUGUGGAGUUUCACACAUGUCCCCAAAGACGAGCUUCCUGUGGUGUAGACACGGGACUGCUGCGGGAGGAGGGGGAGUGUCGGGCAAAGGAGGCACAGUGACACAUUUCCUGAGGCCCUGGGCUGUGAGCCUGCACAGCGGGGACAGAGUGCCAUCUGGUGGUCACUGGCUAGCAUUGCAGGUACCAUCCGGGCCUUUUUCUCAUUAAUGGAGAACUCAGAGGGAACUCAUUUGGGCUUUUUAAAGAUCUGUUUCAAAACACCAACGGAAGACAAGGAGGUCAGAUGUGCCCGCUCCUACUCAUCAUUAUACCUCCGGAUACUCACUGCCUCACAUCCUUCUUGAACCAGACAACGACUUCAAUGGCUUCAAGGCCAGUUUUGUUUAGUUUUUAGAGACAGGGUCUCAAACUUGCUAUGUGUUCAAGAAAGACCUUGAGGUUUUGGUUCUCCUGUUUCCACCUCCUGAGUGCUUGAAUUAUAGAGGCACAUCAUCACACCAUCGUGCUGGGGAUCAAACCCAGGACUUCACGGCUGAUAGGCUUGGCAACCGUCGUGGAAGAGAGAUGAAAAGACUAUAACACCCAGAGAUCGGGAAGGGGCCAAGGGAAAUGUCUUCCGGACACGACUGGACUGCGGCACCCCUGAACGCAUGGCCAUUGUGGUUACCUGCGCAAGAUCAAGUUGUCUAUAUUGUAGAAUGGAAGGGGCGUGGUGUGGAAGGGGAGGGGCGUGGAAGGGGAGGGACGUGGAAGGGAAGGGGAGGGGCAUGAACGGGGUAGGGCUUAGGAACUACUGACAGUUGAUAUCUUCUAGGAGAGGAAUUAUCAGUUUUUGUUAAGUGUACAGCCCCUGGUUGGUUAAUCAUGCUCCAGUGGCUAGCCCUACACUCAGGAGUAAAUGGGCAGUGCAAAUUCAUCUGUUGAAAAAAAAAAAAAGAGGAAAGGAAAUAAACAACAAAAUCAAGUGCAUAAACUUGGGGGAGGGCAGAAUACAGGUGGAUCUGGGAGGGGUUGGGGCAGAACGAUGGGGUGAAUAUAAUCAAAAUGUAUCGUAAACGUGUAUGAAAAUCUCAAGAGAUUGAUUAAAAUACAUUUAAAAUACUUCGUAUGAAUUUAGGGGAACAAAGCCGUGUGCUAUUUUAGGUAGGUGUUUUUGCAGGGGUUGGGGGGGGUGUGAAUAAAGACUCCCGUGGUUCAGGCUGGCUGCCAACCUAGGAUGCAGCCUGUAUCACCAUGUAACCUCGGAUGACCUUGAAUUCUGACCCUCCAGCUUCUGCCUCCCAAGUGCUAGGAUUAUAGGCAUGUACCACGUCUGGUUUAUACAGUUCUGAGGUUUGAACCUUUGGCUUCACAUAUACUAGGCAACCAGUCUAACCAGACCCCAUCUCUAGCCCCUCAGUGAAAUUUCGUGCUUUGAUGGAAUAGUACACAUCACACAGGAAAGGGCAAAUUACAACCAACAGUCAGGGUUGCCACCAUCUGUGUUUAUAAAUAAAACUUUAUUAGCACACAA